GCUUAGAGGGUAAAGCAUCUGCCUGCAACGCAGGAGACCUGGGUUUGAUCCAAGACCCAG
rnacentral:tRNA from 1 species